rnacentral:tRNA from 4 species
GCCGGUGUAGCUCAGUUGGCAGAGCAGGGCAUUCGUAAUGCUCAGGUCGGAGGUUCAAAUCCUCUCGCCGGCACCA